UACGUAGGGUGCAAGCGUUGUCCGGAAUUAUUGGGCGUAAAGAGCUCGUAGGCGGUCUGUCGCGUCUGCUGUGAAAACUCAGGGCUUAACCCUGAGCUUGCAGUGGGUACGGGCAGACUAGAGGUGCGGUAGGGGAGACUGGAAUUCCGUGGGUGAUAGCGGUGAAAUGCGCAGAUAUCAGGAGGAACACCGGUGGGCGAAGGCGGGUCUCUGGGCCGUAACUGACGCUGGAGGAG
rnacentral:rRNA from 1 species